CAUAACCAGGGUGGGAAGAACGUGAUUCUUUCUGUUAAACCACAUGGGACACUGUUAACCUACUUUCCCAACUCAGGCCUGAACUCUCUCUGCCCUCCAGGGUGUCUAGGACAGACACCACGGUGAACACCACCAGGCUUGAAGCUGACUCUGAUGGAACAUACACUAUCUGGUCUCCUUAUGGUAAAGAGCAGGGAAGUUCUAAAGCAUCACCUGACAAGAGACCCAACAUUACAAUCCUGAUGCUUCAAUCCUUGCCCAAGUGCCUCAAGCUCAGAGACUUUAUGUAUCAGCAGUAUCUGGCAUUUGAGGGUACU